rnacentral:rRNA from 1 species
CGGACGGGUGAGUAACGCGUGAGAAUCUGGCUCUAGGUCUGGGACAACCACUGGAAACGGUGGCUAAUACCGGAUGUGCCGAGAGGUGAAAGGUUAACUGCCUAGAGAUGAGCUCGCGUCUGAUUAGCUAGUAGGUAGUGUAAUGGACUACCUAGGCGACGAUCAGUAGCUGGUCUGAGAGGACGAUCAGCCACACUGGGACUGAGACACGGCCCAGACUCCUACGGGAGGCAGCAGUGGGGAAUUUUCCGCAAUGGGCGAAAGCCUGACGGAGCAAUACCGCGUGAGGGAGGAAGGCUCUUGGGUCGUAAACCUCUUUUCUCAGGGAAGAACACAAUGACGGUACCUGAGGAAUAAGCAUCGGCUAACUCCGUGCCAGCAGCCGCGGUAAUACGGAGGAUGCAAGCGUUAUCCGGAAUGAUUGGGCGUAAAGCGUCCGCAGGUGGCAAUGUAAGUCUGCUGUUAAAGAGUCUAGCUCAACUAGAUAAAAGCAGUGGAAACUACAUAGCUAGAGUACGUUCGGGGCAGAGGGAAUUCCUGGUGUAGCGGUGAAAUGCGUAAAGAUCAGGAAGAACACCGGUGGCGAAGGCGCUCUGCUAGGCCGUAACUGACACUGAGGGACGAAAGCUAGGGGAGCGAAUGGGAUUAGAUACCCCAGUAGUC